GUGUUGUGCCAGAUGAAUUGGGUUACUUUGAUGUAGUAAAAUAUAGGGAGUUUAUCCUUCAACACAAC
rnacentral:tRNA from 1 species